GAGGAGAGCGAGAUGGACUGCUGCAAUUCGACGAGAAAACUGGGCACCAAAAGAUUACCACAGACUAUGUAGUAGUCAUUUUAUACCUGUCAGCUUUGACAGCCACGCCAACAAUGCUGGCUACUACUCCAGCCUUGAGCUCCCAGAGGGCACCUGGUCCUACACCAACCCCUACGCCGACGGCAACAAGCAGAUAUUCGUCUACUGUGACCCCGUGCACCUUUGGAAGAACAUCUACAGCAGCUUUCACAACAACGGCAGUAUGGUGCUGCCCAGGUGUCCUGGGGCUGAAGUAAGUGGCCAGCAUUAUUCACUUUAUAAAAAAGAUGAAUCAAAACACCUAUCUUUCUAAAACAAACAUUUUUUUUUUUUUUUACGAGCCUGAGAGAAUGAGGACGGCCUGAUUCUCGAGCUGGAAGGGGCUGGCCAGGUGGGAGAACUACAAGUCUGUCAAGGCCGGCUACAAGUUCAUCCAGAAGAGUCGCACGGGCAAGGAGGAACACAAGGCUGACAUUCUGAAGAUGUUACAGAGAACAAGGGAGACCUGGAGACGGGCCGGGCAGUCCUUAAGUGGCCAUUUCUCCCCAUGGCCCACAUGGCGUCCUUCGGAAUGUCGCUGUGGGACUCCCUGGUGUGCAGGAAGCACAAGAUCACCUGCUGGAGUUCCUGGUGGUCCCUCUUCAACUUUUUUGGUGCAAACUUCUCCAAGGAUGUGACUUCAGAAGCGAGGAAGAACAAGGCCUUGGGGAGUGGCCAACCGGUAGGACAGGAAAAGGAGCAGAGUCGAGGAGGGCAGAAAGGAGACGGCGAGGAACAGGGACUUGUACAAGUCGAGGAAGUUGACCAGAAAAACGCAAUGCAUAGAUAGAGGCUAUGUGAUUGUUGAAAGACGAGGCUAACAUCCUGGUAACUCCACAUCGAUUAUUUGCACUGCCUGAAUUAUAGGACUAUCUCAUACGCAUUUUAUAUUUGUGUUUAUUUAGAUUUCAUACUUGCACGUCACUUUUGAGAUUUUAACUUAUCCUGCACUGUAAAGGGAUGCUCCGCAAUUUCAUCAUAUGACUGUAUUAUGAUAAUAAAGGGCUAUUCUAUGCUAUAAUAAGUUGUGAUUGUAUAUAGAAUUUUUAAAGAAUCUAUUUAUAUUAGGGCUGUCAAAAUUAUCGCGUUAACGGGCGCUAAUUAAUUUUUUAAAUUAAUCAUGU